AAAAAAAAAGAUCUUAUUUCUAUAACCAAGAGGCAGGUCCAACAACUUUUUGACCAUGGAUGCCAUCAGUUUAUAUGGAAACAAAAAAGCAGGACAUGAUGCCACGUCUGUGGCUGAACGACGGCAUGCACAUAAUUCUAUCCCCCAGUGCUUUGCUGUAACAGCGAAUUUAGUCCAAAACUACAGGCUUGAGAAUCUGAAUACAAAUCUUUCACCACAGCUGGAGUGAGUGCUUCAUUUGAAAGGAAAAGCACAGGGACUCCUACUCCGCACCACCAAAUAUCUUUCAAAAAUCCAUUCAGUUUUACUCUAUGCUCCCUGAAAACAGCAAAAACACUCUUUGCAUCUUCAUGGACUCCUUAUAUUCUGAAGAUUCGGAUUCGGUCUUGAUGAGCAAAUACCACCUGCAGACUUAUGGACAUGUUCCUAUGUAGCAUUCCACUGUAGCAGUUAGUCUCGAGGAGAGCAGAAGCUGCAGCUACAGAUGACUAAGCAGAACUAAAAAAUUACACUUUUCAGCAUAAAUGAAAAAUGAAUGGAAGAUACUAGGAAGAAAGUAAGCUGUUUCUGACACACCAGAAUCAUGUAUUUUCCCUAGCAGGUAUCACUGUUACCCUCUUUAAGAUAGUGACAAAUAUUAAAGAAAAAAAUAAAAAUUGGAGGGGAUGUGAAAGUGGCUUUCACAUGAAAGCACUGGAAGCAUCAUUAGUGGAAUGCACAGUCAGUACAGCACCAGAGUUGAACUACACUGUGAACAAGCGCUAAUACCUUCAUUGUGCGAAAAGCAAGGCUGUAGAAUAGACCCCUGCCUUUGUUUCAGCAGCUUUCUCAGACUGCCUGUGGGUCACAGCCAUGGUGCAGUAUGCCAUCUCAAUCCACAAGUGCUACUCUAAGAUGAUACAGCUGGUGCUGUGAUCUGAGAGCUCCAUCAGCUCUUGUUAUUCAGGUCAAAAUGUAGAAAGCACUGGGUUUUGUAAGCUUCAAACUUCUCUGGCCAUGUCUCUCCACUCCUCAUCACAGCAUCUGCAGCAAUCUGCUCUUCUGUAAACCACUGUGAUAUCUGUGAUAUCCACUGUUUUUCUGGCUACCUUUAGUACAGCAAGGCUUUUGCUUGCAUUGUUUACAUUUUCAAAUCUGCUUGCUCAGCUUACUUAAAUUGUGGGUUUGUUUGCUUUUUUCCAUGGCUAGUGGACAGUGCUACUACUACACACAAUCGCACUCCAGGUCUACUUCAAAAUGAUUAAAUUUGACAAGGAAGGAAAGAUGAUAACUUACUUCCCAGAGAUGCUGAGUGUUCCUGAUGGCACCUGCUUGAACCUUCUCUGGCAAGAGCAGGAUUCCCUGGAAGGGCCCAAUCCAGGUGCCCUGCUGAAUCCUCUGUGCCGCACAAAUGCCAUAGGCCAGGCCAGGCACAGUGCUGGUGCACAGACACACUUCUCGGGGCAGGUCCCGGAGCCACUCUGGGAUCUCAGGUGGAGGGGCUGCUGCGGCUGCACUGCUGGUGCCCACCAGCCGGCGCAGGGAGUGGAGGGGCCCGUGCAUAGGGCACUCACCGUUGCGGUUGUCAGCACACAUGUCACAUCCUGAGGGGCAAAGAGGGAAAAACACCAUCAGUGUGGUGCUGCUGGCCACCACCAUCACCAGUGCCAUGGGCGAGAACAUGCAGAUCCCUGUACUUUUCCUGUCAUUUCAUGGCAGCCCAGCACUCACACAUCGUGCCCCUUUGUGCAUUGUUUUGGAUGGUUUUCCUAAUUUCACCAAAGCUCUAAAUAAGAAAUUCCAAAGGCUGAGCAGAAACCCUGCAGACAAUUUGCAAGUCUGGCGUGUUCACAGAUCUGCCAAGACUCAUUUAUUUUAACAUAGUUUUUUAAGAUUCAUUUUUUGACUAAUAUAAAUAGCCCAUUUAAACCACCCCAGUGUGUUUCAGCAAGGCAUUUUAAAGCACGGAGUGCCUUACCAGUCCCUCUCAUUUGCCUCACCACAGCUCAGCCCAAGGGUUUAAUUGGAACAGGAUUUCAUUUAAUCCUUAUUUUAAAUGAACAUUCACUCUGCUUUUUACAUUAACAUGUGUGUACAUGCCUGCUUGUUUAGAAAAUAAAAUAAAUAAACCAGAACCUCAUGAAUGACAAAUUGAA